UUCCGGUUGAUCCCGCCGGAGGUUACUGCUAUCGGUGUUCGCCUAAGCCAUGCGAGUCAUAUGUUCUUCGUGAACAUGGCGUACUGCUCAGUAACACGUGGAUAACCUGCCCUUGGGACCGGGAUAACCCCGGGAAACUGGGGAUAAUACCGGAUAACGCAUAUCUGCUGGAAUGCUUUAUGCGUAAAAUGGAUUUGUCUGCCCAAGGAUGGGUCUGCGGCCUAUCAGGUAGUAGUGGGUGUAAUGUACCUACUAGCCUACGACGGGUACGGGUUGUGAGAGCAAGAGCCCGGAGAUGGAUUCUGAGACAUGAAUCCAGGCCCUACGGGGCGCAGCAGGCGCGAAUACUUUACAAUGCGGGAAACCGUGAUAAGGGGACACCGAGUGCCAGCAUCAUAUGUUGGCUGUCCAGAUGUGUAAAAUACAUCUGUUAGCAAGGGCCGGGCAAGACCGGUGCCAGCCGCCGCGGUAACACCGGCGGCCCGAGUGGUGAUCGUGAUUAUUGGGUCUAAAGGGUCCGUAGCCGGUUUGGUCAGUCCUCCGGGAAAUCUGACGGCUCAACCGUUAGGCUUUCGGUGGAUACUGCCAGACUUGGAACCGGGAGAGGUAAGAGGUACUACAGGGGUAGGAGUGAAAUCUUGUAAUCCCUGUGAGACCACCUGUGGCGAAGGCGUCUUACCAGAACGGGUUCGACGGUGAGGGACGAAAGCUGGGGGCACGAACCGGAUUAGAUACCCGGGUAGUCCCAGCCGUAAACGAUGCUCGCUAGGUGUCAGGCAUGGCGCGACCGUGUCUGGUGCCGCAGGGAAGCCGUGAAGCGAGCCACCUGGGAAGUACGGCCGCAAGGCUGAAACUUAAAGGAAUUGGCGGGGGAGCACAACAACGGGUGGAGCCUGCGGUUUAAUUGGAUUCAACGCCGGG
rnacentral:rRNA from 1 species